UACGGGGGGUGCAAGCGUUGUUCGGAAUUACUGGGCGUAAAGGGCGCGUAGGCGGUUCGCUAAGUUGGAUGUGAAAACUCUGGGCUUAACCCAGAGCCUGCAUCCAAAACUGGCGAACUGGAGUACUGGAGGGGAAAGCGGAAUUCCUGGUGUAGCGGUGAAAUGCGUAGAUAUCAGGAGGAACACCGGUGGCGAAGGCGGCUUUCUGGACAGUAACUGACGCUGAGGCGCGAAAGCUAGGGGAGCAAACAGG
rnacentral:rRNA from 1 species